rnacentral:rRNA from 1 species
UACGUAGGGUGCAGGCGUUAAUCGGAAUUACUGGGCGUAAAGCGCAUGUAGGCGGCAGCGCAAGUCGGGCGUGAAAUCCCACGGCUCAACCGUGGAAGUGCACUCGAAACUGCGCAGCUAGAGUCCUGGAGAGGAAGGUGGAAUGCUUGGUGUAGAGGUGAAAUUCGUAGAUAUCAAGCGGAACACCGGUGGCGAAGGCGGCCUUCUGGACAGUGACUGACGCUGAGAUGCGAAAGCGUGGGGAGCAAACAGG